rnacentral:snRNA from 1 species
AUAUUCUCUAAGUUUUAUCUGUUCUUAGCAGUUUAAUAUCUGAUAUGUCCUUUAUCUGAGGACUCUAUAUGAAAUUGAUUUUUGAAAUGGGGAUGGAAUAGGAUCUUGCUCUGUCCAACCCAUUAAAAAAAAAAU